rfam:Schistosoma rodhaini strain Burundi genome assembly, scaffold: SROB_scaffold0001093
ACACUGCUGAAGAGUCCCACAAUGGGACGAAACAACCGUCCAGUGC